rnacentral:rRNA from 1 species
AACGAACGCUGGCGGCAUGCCUAACACAUGCAAGUCGAACGAGACCUCCGGGCCUAGUGGCGCACGGGUGCGUAACGCGUGGGAACCUGCCCUUAGGUUCGGAAUACCUCCCCGAAGGGGGUGCUAAUACCGGAUAAUCUCUUCGGACCAAAGAUUUAUCGCCUUUGGAUGGGCCCGCGUUGGAUUAGCGAGUUGGUAGGGUAAAAGCCUACCAAGGCGACGAUCCAUAGCUGGUCUGAGAGGAGGAUCAGCCACACUGGGACUGAGACACGGCCCAGACUGCUACGGGAGGCAGCAGUGGGGAAUAUUGGACAAUGGGCGAAAGCCUGAUCCAGCAAUGCCGCGUGAGUGAUGAAGGCCUUAGGGUUGUAAAGCUCUUUUACCCGGGAUGAUAAUGACAGUACCGGGAGAAUAAGCACCGGCUAACUCCGUG